UGCUGACCAUCAGGAGAGCAUUUGCAGUCAAAUACUGCACCAUGUCCUUGGCCUUCAAUCUGAAAUAUAUUUAACCAACAAUCAGAAAGUUCCAUUAAUCCAGAACGAAUGGGUUUCUCCCUGCAACCUGUCAAUCAAACAGAGGUGGCCAAUCACCACUCUGAAUUUUUUUUGCUCUCAGUGCUUCUUCAGACUAUGUUCCAGUUGAAAACUUCUUUAGCAGUGUUCUGAAAGAGGUAAAAGUUCUACCCUAUCUAAAGCACAUCUAGGGACUGAAUUUCAGAAAACAACUAAAAUAGGGAGUCGACUCCCUAACAAAUAACAACUAAGGAUGAUUUUCAACAAAUGCGAUUGGAUUUCUGGAUUAGCAGAAUCGGAACACACACACAUUAUCAGGUAUCCCUAAUACCUAGGAAGUAGAUGUUUUAAAAAGUGACGAUAAACAGCAGUAUUUGAAGAAAACUUCAUACAGUGGUUAGAGACAAGUGGACAAUGCUGCACAUACUUACAGUAUGGAACUCCAAUUCUGAUAUUUUCUCUGGCUGACCUGAUCCAAAAAAAUAAACCCGAAUAAUAUGAUCCGUG